AACGAACGUUGGCGGCGUGGAUGAGGCAUGCAAGUCGAGCGAGAAAGCGCCUUCGGGUGUGAGUAAAGCGGCGAACGGGUGAGUAACACGUAAUCGAGCUGCCCUCGAGAUCGGGAUAACAGUGGGAAACUGCUGCUAAUACCGGAUGGCCCUAUCGAAUCGCAUGUUUUGAUAGGUAAAGGUUGGGAUCCUGCGGGACCUUCCACUCGAGGAGGUGAUUGCGGCCUAUCAGCUAGUUGGUGAGGUAACGGCUCACCAAGGCUACGACGGGUAGCGGGCCUGAGAGGGUGGCCCGUCACACUGGGACUGAGACACUGCCCAG
rnacentral:rRNA from 1 species